rnacentral:rRNA from 1 species
CCUACGGGUGACUGCAGUGGGGAAUCUUGCACAAUGGGGGAAACCCUGAUGCAGCGACGCCGCGUGAGUGAAGAAGUAAUUCGUUAUGUAAAGCUCUAUCAGCAGGGAAGAAAAUGACGGUGCCUGAGUAAGAAGCCCUGGCUAACAACGUGCCAGCAGGCGCGGUAUUACGUCGGGGGCAAGCGUUCUGCGGAUUUACUGGGUGUAAAGGGAGCGUAGACGGCAGUGCAAGUCUGGAGUGAAAGGCGGGGGCUCAACCCGCGGGCUGCACUGGAAACUGGACGGCUGGAGUGCAGGAGAGGUGAGUGGAAUUCCUAGUGUAGCGGUGAAAUGCGUAGAUAUUAGGAGGAACACCAGUGGCGAAGGCGACUUACUGGACUGUAACUGACGUUGAGGCUCGAAAGCGUGGGGAGCAAACAGGAUUAGAUACCCUUGUAGUC